rnacentral:lncRNA from 1 species
GGGGAACUCAUGUUCUCACUCAGAAGUUCACCUGACAGUCUAUUCAUUUUUGGGUUGAUGUGGAAGCCACAUUCUCAGAUUCAAGCUUUUUGCCAGUGCAUUAAGAUUUUUCUAUGAUCAUGAUGGGCCAUGCUGACUCCUGCUCUGGAAGUCUUCAGGGUCAAGUCUGAGAUGGGCUCUGUGCUAUGUACCUUCAUUUUUUGUUCACAAGCUAUGGGAGAGCCAGAACGGUUUUCUAAGUAAAACCCCAACUUGACGGUAAGUGCUUCUCCGUGUACUGGGUGUUCCAUACACAGAUGGAAAACUGCUGUUGUGAGCAUGAAUCUUGGUUAGGCUUCUUAAUUUUCCCAAAAGUUUCUCAAUCCCAUCAGCUGAUCAGUUAAUUUUUGAAGUUUGUGUGUCACUGUUGGCCAACCCCAGAAUCUGUCUUGCCCACCAGGAUAUAUGCGGGCUGUUUCUGCUCAAAUUUGAUCAAGUUCUCACCUGGAAAAAAUGUACAGCCAUAAUUUGAAAGACUAACUAUGCAUCAAAUUCCUUAGAUAUUCUGUUAAUUUCAUGGACAGUUAGAAAGCCAUCUACCCCACCACCCCCCUAGUUACUCUCUGCUUAAUGAAAGGAGGCAUCAGAAGUGUCCAUGCAACUGAAUAUUAUUUGGCAAUAAAAAGGAAUGAAAUACAGAUACAUGCUGUAAUAUUGGUUGAAAACAUGCUAAGAAAGAAGUUGGUCACAAAUGACCACACGUUGUCUGAUUCCAUUUAUAGGAAAUGCACAGAAUGGACAAAUCCAUAGAGACUGGAGAGAGAUCCACAGCUGUUGGGAUCUGGGGCGUGAUUGCCAAUGGGCAUGGGCUUUAUUUGAGGGGAGAAGAAAAUGUUUUAAAACUAGAUUGUGGCAAUGGUUAUGUAAGUCUGUGACUAUUCUAGAAGCCAUUAAAC